GUAUAAAGAGGGAAAUAGGGGAGGUGAAAAUGGGAGGGGAAGAUAGUGGGAAAAAUAUAGCGGAUGGGGAGGGAAUUAUAGGAGGGGAGAAUAGGGAUAUAAUAGUAAAAAAUAUUAGACCUGGGGCUCAAAGCACAUGGCUACUUAAUAUGCAUUGUUGACACAUCCCUGCCAACUCCUCCUCUCACCCAGCAAAACCCCCCAUUUCCCCUCCUCCUUCGACAGAGAAGAAUGGGCAAUAUCCUUGGGCAAUUUGCUCAUUUUUCUGUUCCAAAUGUUCCAAAUACCCAUAUUGUUCCAUUAGUCCUCUCCUCCAAUCAGAUGCUUCAGUUUGUUUCAAAUUGGAGAAAGAGAGCAAAAAUACACCAAUGAAGAGCCUAGCUUGUUCCAAAAGUUUUUAAGCCAAUCAUCUUCCUCUGAAAUGUUCCCAACGUCACUUCAUCAGAAAAUCUUUUUCUGUCAGCCAUUGAUGCUACUCGGUGAGUAUCUGAGGUAAUUUUGCUUAAUUUGCAACGAAUUUAAAGUCAACAACUAUAAAUGUGAUGAAAUAUGACAAUAGCAUGUCUAGUCAACCGACUUGUUUGACUACAGGGGCUUCCCAAACGGUGUAAUUUAAUAACUUUCGUAGAUCGCUAGUUACUGUAGCUGCUGCUGCACAGGCAAGUUAGCGUUGGCUAUACAUUAUUUUUCUGUCAGCCAUUGAUGCCACUCGGUGAGUAUAUGAGGUAAUUGUGCUUAAUUUGCAACGAAUGAUGACUAAAUGUGAUGAAAUAUGACAAUAACACGUCUAGCCAACCGACUUGUUUGACUACAGGGGCUACCCAAAUUGUGUAAUUUAACAACGUUCGUAUAUCGCUAGCUACUGUAGGUGGACAAAACUCACAAAGUUUAUUUGACCACUGACAAUCCUGUAAAACCUUAGCUAACAUCUAUAUCAACUAAAAGUUGGAAUUCUAUACUAUUUAAUUGUAUAUUUUCUUUAGUUUUUUGAUGGCAUGCAUUUGAAGUGUAUGUAGUUGAAUGAAUUGUAUUGAUGGACAUUGGGGGCAAACGUGUCUUUCUAUGUAAACUGAAUUUAACUGCAAAUGAAAUAAUAAUCAUCCUACCCAUAACCCCCAAACCCGCCACUGUUGUCCUCCUCCUAGCAGUCCUAUCAAGCAAACGAGUUGGUCCUCAAGGCCACACCCCAGGCAGUAUGCAGGAGACAAGACAACUGUGUCCAAUUUGGCCUAGUGUUUAAUAUCUUAACAAUGUGGAGUAACUAUAGUUGAUGAGUUUACCUCAGCACUUUCUGAGGAGGGCCUUGGAGGCAGGAAGGACUGCCAGGAGGGCAAGGCCCUUGUCGGCAUCGGGAAGUACAAGUGGGACUCACUACAGGACCUGUAUGAGGCUACGGGUGCAGACAGGAUAAAAUAUAUGUCAGGAGCUUGAGGGCGCAGACACCCCAUUAUCCUGGGAGUGCAAUGGCCGCCUUGAUUGGCUACAUUCAGUGCAGAGACCAGGAGGGGGUAGCUGCUGUGGCCAGGCCCGCCCCAGCCAGCACCACCCCUGCCAACACCAUCCGGCCCAAGAGUGCGGCUACGUAAGUGUAGGGGCCUGACCCUGAUUGUUACAUAUUAUUUGAACGAACGCAUUAAUUUUUGGGGUAAUUGCUUUUCUUUUAAUUAACUUAAGUUGUAUUGAUAUUUUAUUGUUUGGAUUGUGUAUUUUUGUAAGAUAAACAAAAUGUAUGGACUAGAAAAAAAUAAAAUCACCUUUGGGGAACUGCCUGUUCAGAUGGAGGCCACCAUGGACGGCUGGCUACAUGUCAGGUGUGGAGGUGGGGGGCUUGUGUUUCCCAGCAUUAUUUGUUUUUUGUGUGUGUUACAACUCUGUAAACCGUGUGUUUGACUAAUAAAAUGACAUAUUUGCUUGUCUUUUCAUUUGUUGAACUUUAAAAGAAGAGUGUAUGACAAUAAAUCAAAAUGAAUUUAAGGGAGAAAAAGUGCUCGCAUUCAAUUAUUUAUUUCACAGGGAAUGUCAUAUGUGAAACAACCCAUCCUACUGUACAAGUUAAGAUUAUUUUAAAAUAACUAAAUGUACAAGAGAUUAACAAUGAAUGUCAUAAAAAAAACAAAGAACAAAAA